UACGGGGGGGGGCAAGCGUUGUUCGGAAUUACUGGGCGUAAAGGGCUCGUAGGUGGCCAACUAAGUCAGACGUGAAAUCCCCUCGGCUUAACCGGGGAACUGCGUCUGAUACUGGUUGGCUUGAGAUUGGGAGAGGGACGCGGAAUUCCAGGUGUAGCGGUGAAAUGCGUAGAUAUCUGGAGGAACACCGGUGGCGAAGGCGGCGUCCUGGACCAACACUGACACUGAGGAGCGAAAGCCAGGGGAGCAAACGGG
rnacentral:rRNA from 1 species